rnacentral:rRNA from 1 species
AUACGUAGGACCCGAGCGUUGUCCGGAUUUACUGGGCGUAAAGCGCGUGUAGGCGGGUAGGAGAGUUGGAUGUGAAAGCUCCCGGCUUAACUGGGAGAGGUCGUUCAAAACUUCCCACCUAGAGUAUGGUAGAGGAAAAUGGAAUUCCGGGUGUAGUGGUGAAAUGCGUAGAUAUCCGGAGGAACACCAGUGGCGAAAGCGAUUUUCUGGACCAAUACUGACGCUCAGACGCGAAAGCUAGGGUAGC